rnacentral:lncRNA from 1 species
CUCUCUUUAAAAAAAAUGGAAUAGGAUAGACAGCCUAUAAAUAAACCUCCAAUUAUAUGGCCAAGUAAUUUUUAGCAAGAAUACUAAGAAUACUCGGUGGGAAAAUGAGUCUUUUAACACAGGGUAUUGGGAAAGGCAGUGUUCUACAUACAGAACAACAAAGUUGGAGCCUUCCCUUUAACUACAUUGAAAAAAAUAAAAUAAAAUGACUCAAUGCCUUAAUGUAAGUGGCUAAACUAUAAAAUCCCUAGAAGAAAACAUAGGAGAAAAUCUUCCUGACAUUGGAUUUGGCCUUAUUUUUAUGGAUAGGAAAUCAAAAUCAUAUGCAACAAAAGUAAAGAUAGAUAUAUUGUAGUAUAUCAAAAUUUAAAAAUUUAUACAUCAAAGUACACCAUUAACAGAGUGAAAAUACAUGUAGAAUUGGAGAAAAUAUGUGCAAUCAUAUAUUUUAUAAAAGAUUAACGUUCAGAAUAUACAAAGAAUAUGUGUAUCUAUACACAUAAAAACAAACCACUCAAUUGAAAAAUGAUGUAAGAAAUUGAAUAGGCAUCUCAACAAAGAAGAUACACAAAUAAUCAAUAACCACAUAAAAAGAUGCUUACUAUCAAAUAUCUCUAGGGAAAUGCAAAUCAGAAGUACAAGGAAUUACCACUUCACACUCACUAGAAUAACUAUUACCAAAAACACUCCCACAAAACCAAAAAAUGAAAGUAAAAUAAAAUUUUAAGAAAUUAAGUGUAGUUGAUGGUAUGAAUUGUAAGCUUUUACUCUGUUGACCAAAAAAAAAUGAAAUGUUGCUGCCACUAUGGAAAAAGAGUAUGAUGGCAUACCAAAUUAUCUAGCAAUUCUGCAUGUGAAAAUAUGCUCAACAAAGUUAAAAUAGGC